ACGGGGGGAGCAAACGUUAUUCGGAAUUACUGGGCUUAAAGGGUGCGUAGGCGGCGCGGAAAGUUGGGUGUGAAAUCCCUCGGCUCAACCGAGGAACUGCGCCCAAAACUACCGUGCUCGAGGAAGAUAGAGGUGAGCGGAACUCACGGUGGAGCGGUGAAAUGCGUUGAUAUCGUGAGGAACACCCGUGGCGAAAGCGGCUCACUGGGUCUUUUCUGACGCUGAUGCACGAAAGCUAGGGGAGCAAACGGGA
rnacentral:rRNA from 1 species